UCUGGUGGCGAUAGCGAAGAGGUCACACCCGUUCCCAUCCCGAACACGGAAGUUAAGCUCUUCAGCGCCGAUGGUAGUUGGGGGAUUCCCCCUGUGAGAGUAGGACGUUGCCAGGC
rnacentral:rRNA from 1 species